rnacentral:rRNA from 1 species
UACGUAGGGUGCGAGCGUUGCCCGGAUUUAUUGGGCGUAAAGAGCUCGUAGGCGGCUCAUUGCGUCAACCGUGAAAACCAGCAGCUCAACUGUUGGCUUGCGGUUGAUACGGGUGGGCUGGAGUUCGGUAGGGGAGACUGGAAUUCCUGGUGUAGCGGUGAAAUGCGCAGAUAUCAGGAGGAACACCGGUGGCGAAGGCGGGUCUCUGGGCCGAUACUGACGCUGAGGAGCGAAAGCGUGGGGAGCGAACAGG